AUUUUAAUAGCUUAUUAGAGCGAUACAUUGAAGAUGUAGAGGAGAUUGGAUUAUCUUAAAGUA
rnacentral:tRNA from 1 species